GCCUACCUUUAUUUUGCAUAGUGCUGAUUCCUUCUGCUGCUGGAUCUCUGUUGAUUGUUUCAGUCGUCAUCUGCUGCAUUUGCAAAAAAUGUAGAAAAACAGCUCUGACCAAAGAGGAAGACAGAACUGAUUCAGCAUUGUGUAAACCAGCAACAAAGAACAUGAAACCAAAGACUGAGGCUGUAUAUGGAAAUGUCCAUAAAAAACACUGAUCAAAUAUUGGAAUUUUUAUCAGAAGUUAUACAGGACAAUACUUUACACCUUUUCAUUCACAUUCAUUUUCCUCGGGGAUGUCACUAUUUGUCUGUGUCAUAUCUUUUGGUGUUACUGUGAUGGCUAAAAUCUUAUUUUAAUUAAAUUAGGGAUUUACCAAUAGCAUAUCACCAAUAAACUCAACUAACAUGUUCUUAUUAAGCCUAUCAUCACAUGGAAAUGUUGGUAACGUUCAUUAUUAAAUCUUAAUCAUACCU